UGCCCCGUGGCUGAGUUGGUUACAGCGUCCGACUGUUAUGCUCAUGACAUCGGAAGGUCGUGAGUUCGAGCCUCACCGGGGCAG